UGGGUGUAUGGAAAACAUUUGGAAGCAUUCAUCCGUCUCUCGUACAAGCGGUAUAGAUAUGGAGCUUUAGGUGACUGAGGAAUCUUACUUGCGUUGGCUAUAUUGUUUAUUCAGUACAAACAUGAAUUGCUUGAAGAUUGGUGUCUUUGCUUGUAUACUAAUUCAUGUUUCCUUAAAUGAGGCGAAGGGUAGAUGUGGGACCCUUCAAUCCUCUUUUGUCGAGAGAUGUUCAGAAAAUCAAGAAGGAACGUACAGAGUUGCUCUGCAGGUUUGCGG